UCAAAGGCUCUUUUCAGAGCCACUCAACUCUCACAUAAAGAGCUUU
rfam:Pan troglodytes isolate Yerkes chimp pedigree #C0471 (Clint) chromosome 6, whole genome shotgun sequence.